rnacentral:rRNA from 1 species
GAUGAACGCUGGCGGCGUGCCUAAUACAUGCAAGUCGAGCGAACAGACGAGGAGCUUGCUUCUCUGACGUUAGCGGCGGACGGGUGAGUAACACGUGGAUAACCUACCUAUAAGACUGGGAUAACUUCGGGAAACCGGAGCUAAUACCGGAUAAUAUAUUGAACCGCAUGGUUCAAUAGUGAAAGACGGUUUUGCUGUCACUUAUAGAUGGAUCCGCGCCGCAUUAGCUAGUUGGUAAGGUAACGGCUUACCAAGGCGACGAUGCGUAGCCGACCUGAGAGGGUGAUCGGCCACACUGGAACUGAGACACGGUCCAGACUCCUACGGGAGGCAGCAGUAGGGAAUCUUCCGCAAUGGGCGAAAGCCUGACGGAGCAACGCCGCGUGAGUGAUGAAGGUCUUCGGAUCGUAAAACUCUGUUAUUAGGGAAGAACAAAUGUGUAAGUAACUAUGCACGUCUUGACGGUACCUAAACAGAAAGCCACGGCUAACUACGUG